UAUUAGAAAUGGACGAAAGUCUGAUCUAGCAACACCGCGUGUGCGAUGAAGGCCUUCGGGUUGUAAAGCACUUUUUGGAAGGAUUAGGAAGGAAUGUACUUCCAGAAUAAGUCUCGGCUAACUACGUGCCAGCAGCCGCGGUAACACGUAGGAGGCGAACGUUAUCCGGAUUUACUGGGCGUAAAGCGCGUGUAGGUGGUUCUGUAAGUAGGGCAUGAAAGCUCCUGGCUCAACUGGGAGAGGCCGUUCUAAACUGCAGAGCUAGAGGAUGAUAGAGGGAGGUGGAAUUCCGGGUGUAGCGGUGGAAUGCACAGAUAUCCGGAGGAACACCAGUGGCGAAGGCGGCCUCCUGGACCAU
rnacentral:rRNA from 1 species